AGAAAACUAGGUACCGUGUCGUGAGAAUGCCCAAGCAGUGCUAUGGAGCCGAGAACCUAAGGCCUCCUGCCGCCAGCCAACAGCAACUUGCCAGCUACGUGUGAGCCCUUUGGAAGCAGAUCCUCGAACUUUACCAGCAGCUUGGAGCAGCUGGUUGUAAUUAUGCACUGCAGCUUCAGAGGAAGUUUCUGGCUGGGAGAGCGUGUGCUGGGCCUGGCUGCACAUUGGCUGCUGGGCUUCAGGGAACAAAGGAGCUAGAAACCAGUGGCAGCAGAGAACACUCCGAGGAGCAGGACCCGCGUGAAGGCAGGCAAAAAGAAAGUAACCCUGAAGGAAAAGUCAACUGGACCAGUCUCAACUCUCUGCCCGUGGUUGUCUGUCUGUUGCCCAGCUGAGGAUGCUUCUAUUCCAGCAGGAAGCAGGUCAUCUGAGAAUGAAGCUCCAGCACCACAGAACUGGCUGUUUUCUCUCCCUUUAAGUCUCUAUAAAUCAUAUAUAGCAAUGUUGGCAUGAGUCAUAAGACUGGGCAGCGGAGCUCCUGCUAAUCCACGCAGCUGCAUGGGCCUAAAAUACCUCCGUGAAUAGAGUGUGUUUGUCCUGCUCGGUUGAUCGCAUAAAUAGGAAAUCAGCAAAAUCUAGGGGUUCCCCAGUCUCUGAGUCUCGCAGUUCUUGGUUUGCUGCUGUCCCUUCUGUUUGCCCAGUGUCAACCCGUUUGCCAGCCUCUUGCCUCGACAGGGUCUCUCACUGGACCAGGAACUCCACGAUGAGCUAUUGAGCAAACCUACAGAUCCUCUCAUCUCUAACUCCCCAGUGUCGGAUUACUGCCAUGCUAUCACGCUCAGCUUUCUACAGGAGUGCUGGUGACCGAGCUCA
rnacentral:lncRNA from 1 species